GAUGAAGAACGUAGCGAAAUGCGAUAAGUAAUGUGAAUUGCAGAAUUCAGAGAAUCAUCGAAUCUUUGAACGCACAUUGCGCCCGCCAGUAUUCUGGCGGGCAUGCCUGUUCGAGCGUCAUUUCAACCAUCAAGCCCCAGGCUUGUGUUGGGGACCUGCGGCUGCCGCAGGCCCUGAAAACCAGUGGCGGGCUCGCUGUCACACCGGGCGUAGUAGAUUUUAUCUCGCUCAGGGCGUGCUGCGGGUCCCGGCCGUUAAAAGCCUUUUUUUACCCAAGGUUGACCUCGGAUCAGGUAGGAAGACCCGCUGAACUUAAGCAUAUCAAUAAGCGGAGGA
rnacentral:misc_RNA from 1 species